GCUGGCCAUGGAGGCACAUGCCUGUAAAUCCAUGCUGCUAGGGAGACUGAGGCUGGUAGAUCUCUGGAGCUUGGGAGCUCUGAGCUGCAGCAGGACUCAAGCCAAUCUGGUGACCGCACUAAGUCAGCCACCAGUAUGGUGAGCCUCCAGGAGUGGAGGGUCACCAGGUUGCCUAAAGAAGUAGUGAACUGACCCAAAUGAAUGAAGCAAGUCAAAAUUUUUGGGCCAAUCAGUAUUGAGAUUAAACCCCUCAGUGGAUACUUACUUCUAGCCUGGGCAAGAUAGUGAGUUCUUGUGUUGU
rnacentral:SRP_RNA from 1 species